UACGAAGGGGGCGAGCGUUGUUCGGAAUUACUGGGCGUAAAGGGCGCGUAGGCGGCCCGGUCAGUCAGAAGUGAAAGCCCCGGGCUCAACCUGGGAAUGGCUUUUGAGACGGCCGGGCUCGAGUUCCGGAGGGGAUGGUGGAAUUCCCAGUGUAGAGGUGAAAUUCGUAGAGAUUGGGAAGAACACCGGCGGCGAAGGCGGCCAUCUGGACGGACACUGACGCUGAGGCGCGAGAGCGUGGGGAGCAAACAGG
rnacentral:rRNA from 1 species